ACUAUACGGUGAAACUGCGAAUGGCUCAUUAAAUCAGUUAUCGUUUAUUCUGAUAGUACCUUACUACAUGGAUAACCGUGGUAAUUCUAGAGCUAAUACAUGCUAAAAACCCCGACUUCGGAAGGGGUGUAUUUAUUAGAUAAAAAACCAAUGCCCUUCGGGGCUCCUUGGUGAAUCAUAAUAACUUAACAAAUCGCAUGGCCUUGCGCCGGCGAUGGUUCAUUCAAAUUUCUGCCCUAUCAACUUUCGAUGGUAGGAUAGUGGCCUACCAUGGUAUCAACGGGUAACG
rnacentral:rRNA from 1 species